rnacentral:rRNA from 1 species
UACGGAGGGGGCUAGCGUUGUUCGGAAUUACUGGGCGUAAAGCGCACGUAGGCGGCUUUGUAAGUUAGUGGUGAAAGCCUGGAGCUUAACUCCAGAAUUGCCGUUAAGACUGCAUCGCUAGAAUCCAGGAGAGGUGAGUGGAAUUCCGAGUGUAGAGGUGAAAUUCGUAGAUAUUCGGAAGAACACCAGUGGCGAAGGCGGCUCACUGGACUGUUAUUGACGCUGAGGUGCGAAAGCGUGGGGAGCAAACAGG